GACCCUAGGUUAUGGAUGAUAGAUUUAGGUGAGAACAUCUGCUCAGCAGUCUUGGAUCAUCCUUGAGACAUCUUAAGGA
rnacentral:snoRNA from 1 species